rnacentral:pre_miRNA from 1 species
UUCUUUCCAUUUAGGGUUAUGAUGUUUCAGUCGUUGGGCGAGUGAACUCUGGGUCAUGUAGUUUUGAUCAUGACUAGAGUCACACUCGUCCAACGCUUGAAAUAAUUUC